CACACGGCCGCGGCCGCCGGGAGGGCUCGGCAGCGCAGCGGGGCGACCGUCCGGCGGGAGGGAGCCCUGAGCCGAGCCCCCGGCAAGGGAAGGAACGAAAAUGGACAUCUCGCAGCUUCCCAGUGCACGUAUUUUCCUUUGUCAGGAUAUGGGACUUCUGCUGAUCCUUAUGGAAGUCGUACUUUCAGCCG